rnacentral:rRNA from 1 species
UACAGAGGGUGCGAGCGUUAAUCGGAAUUAUUGGGCGUAAAGGGAGCGUAGGCGGAUAGACAAGUGGUAGGUAAAAUACCUGGGCUUAACCUGGGGGCGUCCUAUCAGACUGUCUGUCUAGAAUGUGGUAGAGGAAGGCGGAAUUCCUGGUGUAGCGGUGAAAUGCGUAGAUAUCAGGAAGAACAUCAAUGGCGAAGGCAGCCUUCUGGGCCAUAAUUGACGCUGAGGCUCGAAAGCGUGGGGAGCGAACAGG